CCAGGCUUGAGUGCAAUAGCUCCAUCUCGGCUCACUGCAACCUCCGCCUCCCGGGUUCAAACGAUUCUCCUGCCUCUGCCUCCCAAGUAGCUAGGAUUAAGGCGCCUGCCACCACGCCCAGCUAAUUUUUGUAUUUUUUAAAAGUAAAGAUGGGGUUUCACCAUGUUGGCCAGGCUGGUCUCAAAUCCUGACCUCAGGUGAUCCGCCCGCCUCAGCCUCCCAAAGUGCUGGGAUUACAGGCAUGAGCCACCUCGCCCAGCCUGCCUUAAUAUUUUUACAGGGCAAAAUAAAGUCAAAGUUAAAAUCUGGAGCUGCCUUGAAGGAGAAAAGUUUAAGGAAAAGACAAGGCCACUCAUAGUUUUGCCUCGGCAAAGGUAGAAUUUUGGGGCCACUCGCUGAAUGGCUGCAUCCAUAUCCAAAACAGAACAGCACCCACCAAAGUGAGCCACUUCCCCUGUUAUCUGUACUUGGAGGUGGCUCCAAUUCCAGACUCCUCACAGACUGGAAGAAAUUAGGGCCGCCUUACACUAAGGCAGGCAUACAUGUAGCAUCUUUUUUUUUUUUUUUUUUUUUGAGAUGGAGUCUCACUCUAUUGCCCAGGCUGGAGUGCAGUGGCAUGAUUGCGGCUCACUGCAACCUCUGCCUCCCCGGUUCAAGCAAUUCUCCUGCCUCAGCCUCCCGAGUAGCUGGGAUUCUGUGCAGCAAGUCCUCUGCCCAUAGGACUGGCAAAAGGAAAGGGGAAACUAGCACAGGUCACUCCUUGGAAAGUAGAAUCUUUGCAAGCUACUCUCAGAAGCCAUCACCAUUGCAACAACGGGGGAAAUAAGCUAUCGAACAAGAGGAAGUGACUGGAACCUAAUGAUACUAAUUCAGAAGUCACAAGGCUGACUUGAUGAUUAAAAGAUGAAAACUUGAGGCCAGCCCUACUCUAGGAAAGUCCUCAUCCCCAAAGAAAGGAGACCUGAGCCACUAAGUAAGAAGUCCAGUUACCCUGCUGGAUAAACCACAUGGAGAAGGAAAGGCCCUGAGAUACUUGGAGAGAGGGAAAAGUCCAGCUGCCCAGCACCUGAGCUGAGCCCAGCCUCAGCCAACCCCACCGGCUGACUGCAAACACAUCAGUGACCACCAGUAAGACCAGCAGAGCUGCAGAGCCAAGCCCAGCUGCAGAAUUACAGGGUUGCACUUUGUUGCCCAGGCUAGAGUGCAAUGGCUUCAUCUCGGCUCACUGCACCCUUCACCUCCCAGGUUCAAGUGAUUCUUGUGCCUCAGCCUCCCGAGUAGUUGGGACUACAGAUGUGCACCACCACGCCUGGCUAAUUUUUGUAUUUUUUUAGUACAGACAGGAUUUCAUCAUGUUGGCCAGGCUGAUCUUGAACUCCUGGCCUCAAGUGAUCCACCCACCUUGGCCUCCUGAAGUGCUAGGAUUAUAGGCUUGAGACACCAUGCCCGGCCACAAAUAAAGUUCUUUUUUUUUUUUUUUUUGAGACGGAGUCUUACUCUGUCACCCAGGCUGGAGUGCAGUGACACAAUAUCAGCUCACCACAACCUCCACCUCCCGGGUUCAAGCGAUUCUCCUGCCUCAGCCUCCUGAGUAGCUGGGAUUACAGGCGCCCGCCACCACACCAGGCUAAUUUUUGUAUAUUUAGUAGAGAUGGGGUUUCACCAUUUGGGCCAGGCUGGUCUUGAACUCCUGACCUUGUGAUCCACCUGCCUCAGCCUCCCAAAGUGCUGGGAUUACAGGCGUGAGCCACCGCGCCCAGCC